UAAUGUCUGGGAAACUGCCUGAUGGAGGGGGAGUAACUACUGGAAACGGUAGCUAAUACCGCAUAAUGUCGCAAGACCAAAGUGGGGGACCUUCGGGCCUCAUGCCAUCGGAUGUGCCCAGAUGGGAUUAGCUAGUAGGUGGGGUAAUGGCUCACCUAGGCGACGAUCCCUAGCUGGUCUGAGAGGAUGACCAGCCACACUGGAACUGAGACACGGUCCAG
rnacentral:rRNA from 1 species